GCUUACCAUGCAAGUCGAGCGGGGAAGGGUAGCUUGCUACCUGACCUAGCGGCGGACGGGUGAGUAAUGCUUAGGAAUCUGCCUAUUAGUGGGGGACAACAUUCCGAAAGGAAUGCUAAUACCGCAUACGCCCUACGGGGGAAAGCAGGGGAUCUUCGGACCUUGCGCUAAUAGAUGAGCCUAAGUCAGAUUAGCUAGUUGGUGGGGUAAAGGCCUACCAAGGCGACGAUCUGUAGCGGGUCUGAGAGGAUGAUCCGCCACACUGGGACUGAGACACGGCCCAGACUCCUACGGGAGGCAGCAGUGGGGAAUAUUGGACAAUGGGCGAAAGCCUGAUCCAGCCAUGCCGCGUGUGUGAAGAAGGCCUUUUGGUUGUAAAGCACUUUAAGCGAGGAGGAGGCUACUGAGAUUAAUACUCUUGGAUAGUGGACGUUACUCGCAGAAUAAGCACCGGCUAACUCUGUGCCAGCAGCCGCGGUAAUACAGAGGGUGCGAGCGUUAAUCGGAUUUACUGGGCGUAAAGCGUGCGUAGGCGGCUUUUUAAGUCGGAUGUGAAAUCCCUGAGCUUAACUUAAGGAAUUGCAUUCGAUACUGGGGAAGCUAGAGUAUGGGAAAAGGAUGGUAGAAAUUCCAGGUGUAGCGGUGAAAAUGCGUAAAAGAUCUGGAGGAAUACCGAUGGCGAAGGCAGCCCAUCUGGGCCUAAUACUGAC
rnacentral:rRNA from 2 species